AGAGUUUGAUCCUGGCUCAGAUUGAACGCUGGCGGCAUGCCUUACACAUGCAAGUCGAACGGCAGCACGGGAGCAAUCCUGGUGGCGAGUGGCGAACGGGUGAGUAAUACAUCGGAACAUGUCCAGUAGUGGGGGAUAGCCCGGCGAAAGCCGGAUUAAUACCGCAUACGAUCUGUGGAUGAAAGCGGGGGACCGAAAGG
rnacentral:rRNA from 1 species